rnacentral:rRNA from 1 species
UACGGAGGGUGCAAGCGUUGUCCGGAAUCAUUGGGCGUAAAGGGCGCGUAGGUGGCCCAGUCAGCGUGCGGUGAAAGCUCGGGGCUCAACCCCGGGUCGGCCGUGCGAACUACUGGGCUGGAGCACUGUAGAGGCAUGCGGAAUUCCGGGAGUAGCGGUGGAAUGCGUAGAAAUCAUUUGGAACGCCAAUGGUGAAAACAGCUCGCUGGGAAUGAUCUGACACUGAGACGCGAAAGCCAGGGGAGCGAACGGG